CUGUCAGAUCUUACAGUCCCAUGCGGCCAGUCAGCCAACCACUACCUCCACACGUCAUGCCACCAUCCAUUUUUCAGUCAGCCUGCGCAAAUGGACCGCUGCUGUUUGGCAAUAAGAAAGGCAGGUGGUGGAGACAGACCUUCAGACUCAACCCGCCCUCGGUACUGCUCUCUCUAUACCUGACCCCUUCUGCUGCUGUUGCUGGUUGUCAGGGUGUUGAAACUUGAGGGCAGCGAGCGGUGCCAGGAGGCUCGUCCUGAAGAUUUCACAGAGGCACAGCGGCGACUGCAAGGCUUCCAGUCGACAAGCACAGGAACCCUUCAUCAUGCCAUCGGGAUAUGCGCAGCGAAACUUUCGACCCACGGGUCUCGGCGAGCGUGCUCGGCUGGUGUGGCUGUGGGUGGCGGGGCGCUCCGUGCACAACAUUUCCGUCCUCACGGGCACCAGUGUCACCACAGUCUACAGGUGGAUCCGGCGGUGGCAGCGAGAGGGUCACGUCAACAGCAGACCGAGAAGUGGGCGACCGCGGCUGGGGACGAGCAGGGGCGGUGCCUCAGCGCAGAUGCAACGGAUCUUUUCCAGGCAGUCCUCGUGGCUUAUGCCGGCCAGCACGCACAACACGCCGCCUCACCAUGACUCUUGUGACUUCCACGUGCACCAAGCAGCAGCGUUGUCUGUCAAGCCCCUCACUGGACAGAGGACAAGAUGGCGGGCGGAAAGCAGGACUGAAGAAAUCCCAAACUUCGUCUUCCUUGAGCCCACACAUGCAGCACGCCCACAGCCUCCACUACUCCCUCACCAGCGCUGCUGACAUGUUCGGGCGACGCCUCCAGCUUAACACGACCGUGGUGCUGAACGAGACUCUUCCUGCAGUAAA